rfam:Dipodomys ordii contig_53943, whole genome shotgun sequence.
CAUUUGGCUUUUUUAAAAGCCAAAUAUAUUUGGUUUUAAUCUUUA